UAAAUAACAGCUUCGGAAUUCAGAGUAACCAGAAACAAUAUCACAAAAUACCAAUACUGACAUAUUGGUAUUUUCAACAACCAACUUAGACCCGACAGCCCCCAAGAGAGAGUUCUGUUAGUUUACAACAACCCGACUGCCAGUGACAAAGAAUUCUGUUGGAUGAGAGCAGUCAUGUUACGGAUUUUACAUUUUACACGGGAAUUCUACCCCACGUAGAAAUUUCUACCCCAAAAGUGAGAAUUCGAUCCCAUGCAAACCCGUAAAAUGGCCAACAGCGUGUAGGAUGUAAAAUGUUAAAUAAUCAGAGUGACCGAGUGACACUUCUGUGGUACACCAACAAACACCGCGACACCGACGUGAAAACAUGCAGCGUUCAAAGUGAAACGCCAAACGAAUUGAGAACGACGUGUGUGCUCAGACCUGUGCUCGGAUUAUUUUUGUCGCCUACUUUCCACUGCCUCUGUUUGCACAUAUAAACGAAAACUGAACAAGCAAUCGGAGGUAUAAUUGUCAAAACAAACAAAAGUGAUCCCAACUGGUAAAAGUUAAAAGACAUCAAAAACAAUAGUAGCAGAGAGCGGCGAAAAGCUAACGGCGAAUACAGCGGCAGCAGCAGCGGAGCGCAAGCGAGACGGCAGCAGAGCUCCGCUGCGAGGCAACGGGACAGAACGAGACAGCCAGCAGCCAGAGAGAGCGCCGCAAGGAGCAAAGCCACAAAGGAGAGAGCGCAGCGCGAGAGCACAUUACGACGCGACCUACUGAAAAGGCUCUCCGGUCGAGAUUUCAAACAUCUAAAAGCAAAUAAUACAAAACAAACAAAGAGCUAACCAUUUAAUAUAACCAUUCAACUAAUUAAGGACUUUUAAGAGACUGCUACAAAGGAACAACAA